GUAUUUACCCACUGGAAGAAGAUCUAUUCCCAAGUGCCAGUUGGGUUAUUUUUGAGAACUCCCUACUGAAUAUUGAUGCAGCUUCGUGCCUUUGCAGAAAUGGGAACAAAGCCAUCUGUGACGAACCUUGGAAUCACUGUGCUUUAUUACCCUCAGACUGAGCAUGAGAAGAAAGUAGGGAGGAGACGGCCAUUUUUGGAAAUCUAGCCCUCAGCAAGCUCUUAUACUUUCACGGAGAAGACUAGACACGGACCUCCAAAUUCUUGUUCUUCAAUCUCACAAGAUGAAUUACUAUUUUAAUAUCAAAGACUCAUAGGUGAACAUGAAUUCAAGCUUUCUCCACAUAAGUAUAGAUACCCAAAGGGAUGAAAAUGUGCCAUAGUGACAGAGGAACAGGGUCAUAGAUCCCAGACACAACCCCUUUCAUUGCCAUUCCUCAAUCAUAUACCCACAUUCCCUCCCACUGAUAGUCACACUGACAUUGUAAUUGAGAUGUUUAGACCAACAUUGGUUACCGUC